GCGGCGGCGGUGGCGGCGGCGGCGGCGGCGGAUGCCUGCGUCCCAGGCUCGCGGGCGGCAGGCCCGGAAAUGCACUUGGUGAUGGAAAGAGAGCCACUAUUCUGAAGAACACUUGGCCAAAGGGUCAUUAUCGUUAUUGUGAUGCUCUUUCUAUGCUGGGGGAAUAUAACUGGGCCCUGCAAGCAAACAUAACAGCUCAAAAACUCUGUAAAAAUGACCCUGAGGGAAUCAAGGAUCUAAUUCAGCAGCAUGUAAAGUUACAAAAACAAAUAGAAGACCUACAAGGUCGAACAGCAAAUAAGAAUCCAAUUAAAGCCUUUUAUGAAAACAGGGCCUACACACCUAGGAGUUUAUCAGCACCUGUAUUUAGUACUUCACUUAACUUUGUGGAGAAGGAAAGAGAUUUCAGAAAAAUUAAUCACGAAAUGGCUAACGGUGGUAAUCAGAAUCUAAAGGUGAUGGAUGAGGCAUUGAUGGUAGAUGAUUGUGACUGUCAUCCUGAAUUUU
rnacentral:lncRNA from 1 species